rnacentral:rRNA from 1 species
GACGAACGCUGGCGGCGUGCUUAACACAUGCAAGUCGAACGGAAAGGCCCUGCUUUUGUGGGGUGCUCGAGUGGCGAACGGGUGAGUAACACGUGAGUAACCUGCCCUUGACUUUGGGAUAACUUCAGGAAACUGGGGCUAAUACCGGAUAGGAGCUCCUGCUGCAUGGUGGGGGUUGGAAAGUUUCGGCGGUUUGGGAUGGACUCGCGGCCUAUCAGCUUGUUGGUGGGGUAGUGGCUUACCAAGGCUUUGACGGGUAGCCGGCCUGAGAGGGUGACCGGCCACAUUGGGACUGGGGUCCGGCCCGGACUCCUACGGGAGGCAGCAGUGGGGAAUAUUGCACAAUGGGCGGAGGCCUGAUGCAGCAACGCCGCGUGCGGGAUGACGGCCUUCGGGUUGUAACCCGCUUUCGCCUGUGACGAAGCGUGAGUGACGGUAAUGGGUAAAGAAGCACCGGCUAACUACGUG